CAGCAGCCGCGGUAAUACGUAGGUGGCAAGCGUUGUCCGGAAUUAUUGGGCGUAAAGGGCUCGCAGGCGGUUUCUUAAGUCUGAUGUGAGAGCCCCCGGCUCAACCGGGGAGGGUCAUUGGAAACUGGGAAACUUGAGUGCAGAAGAGGAGAGUGGAAUUCCACGUGUAGCGGUGAAAUGCGUAGAGAUGUGGAGGAACACCAGUGGCGAAGGCGACUCUCUGGUCUGUAACUGACGCUGAGGAGCGAAAGCGUGGGGAGCGAACAGGAUUAGAUACCCGUGUAGUCCCUGUCUCUUAUAA
rnacentral:rRNA from 1 species